GAUGAACGCUAGCGGCGUGCCUAACACAUGCAAGUCGAACGUGAGAGGGUACUUGUAUCCUUGAAAGUGGCGGACGGGUGAGUAAGACGUAGGUGACCUGCCUUGAAGUGGAGGAUAACCAUUGGAAACGAUGGCUAAUACCGCAUAAGCUGGUGAUGAUGGGAAUCGUUAUCAGGAAAGCUUUAGUGCUUUGAGAGGGGCCUACGGCCGAUUAGCUAGUUGGUGAGGUAAAGGCUCACCAAGGCGAUGAUCGGUAGCUGGUCUGAGAGGACGAUCAGCCACACGGGAACUGAGACACGGUCCCGACUCCUACGGGGGGCAGCAGUGAGGAAUAUUCGGCAAUGGGGGCGAACCCUGACCGAGCAACGCCGCGUGAAGGAUGAAGUAUUUCGGUAUGUAAACUUACGUAAGAAUAGGAAGAAUAAAUGACGGUACUAUUUGUUAAGGUCCGGCUAACUACGUG
rnacentral:rRNA from 1 species